ensembl:lncRNA
ACCUUGCUCAGCAGGUACAGGUCCAGCACUUUUCUCUCCACGUGAGGAAGGCGCAGUUUGCAGCCCUGGAGCUCCCAGAACUUGGCGAUCUGGUCGAGGAAGUUGAGCUUGACUCUGGUGAGGGCCUGAAGAGAGACACGAGGUGAGAACAAACACAGCUUCUGUCACAGGACUGAGAGACUGAACUCACCUCCAGCUCAUUGAGCCGCUGGAUUCGAGGAGUGAAGCGGAAACUGCGCACGUCGCAGGCGAAGGGAGGCUGCCAGCCCUACAACACACACACACACAGCAGCUAUGAGUCUGAACAGAGCAGCAUUCACACACACUUUAACCAGAGCCACCUAUACUGCAUUCUGACAUCUGACCCCAUCACUUCAGCAUUAAAAUAAUGGCAACAUUAAAAUCCAUGUAAUAAACUACCAAAAACAUGAUAAAACAACAUUGAAAAAACAAAUACAUAAAAAUGACAAAAAUACCAAAAAUUACUCAAACUUUAAAUUUAAACAGCAGUUGGAUCUGUUGUUUUACUAUGUUUUACUGUGUUUUACUAUGGUAAAUCUCUGGUGUGUACUGUGUUUUACUAUUGUAAAUCUCUGUUGUUUUACUGUGUUUUACUAUUGUAAAUCUCUGGUGUUUACUGUGUUUUACUAUGGUAAAUCUCUGGUGUUUACUGUGUUUUACUAUGGUAAAUCUGUGUUUUACUAUGGUAAAUCUCUGUUGUUUUACUGUUUUACUGUGGUAAAUCGCUGUUACAGUACCUGCGGUGGUCGAAGCUGGUGUUUUACUUUGUUUUACUAUGGUACAUCUCUGGUGUUUACUGUGUUUUACUAUGGUAAAUCGCUGUUAAAGUACCUGCGGCAGUCGGAUCUGGUGUUUUACGGUGUUUUACUAUGGUAAAUCUCUGGUGUUUUAUUGUGUUUUACUAUGGUAAAUCUCUGGGGUUUACUGUGUUUUACUAUGGUAACUCUCUGGUGGUUUAAUGUGUUUUACUAUGGUAAAUCUCUGUUGUUUUAUUGGGUGUUACUAGGGUAAAUCUCGGGUGUUUACUGUGUUUUACUAUGGUAAAUCUCUGUUACAGUACCUGCGGUAGUCGAAUCUGGUGUUUUAUUAUGGUAAAUCUCUGUUGUUUUACUGUGUUUUACCAUGGUAAAUCUCUGGUGUUUACUGUGUUUUACUAGGGUAAAUCUCUGGUAUUUACUGUGUUUUACUAGGGUAAAUCACUGGUUGUUUAAUGUGUUUUACUAUGGUAAAUCUCUGUUGUUUACUGUGUUUUACUAUGGUAAAUCGCUGUUACAGUACCUGCGGUGGUCGAAGCUGGUGUUUUACUUUGUUUUACUAUGGUACAUCUCUGGUGUUUACUGUGUUUUACUAUGGUGAAUCUCUGGUGUUUACUGUGUUUUACUAUGGUGAAUCUCUGGUGUUUACUGUGUUAAAUCGCUGCUACAGUACCUGCGGCGGUCGGAUCUUGCAGAUGCCCGUGUUCUCGGCGAUCUCUCGGAUCCUGCGGAUGAAGCUGAACGGAUCGCUGAAGUCCUGCCAGCUGGGCUCGAACACCGGACACUCCGGCGGAGCCUGAAACUCGCGGAAGAGCGCCAUAAGUGACCACUGCGCCACGGGCCGAGCGUCAGAUCAUGAUCACGGGUCGAAUCCUGUCUGCGUUCGUCAGCGGCUCAUUGCUCGGGACACAAACACGAGAGUUCAGCUGGGGGUGCUUGUUUAUUACGCGAACAAAAGUAGCUGCCGCUUCCGGUCACUUCCACUCACUUCCGCGCUCGUUUCUCUGCAUUCCACGCCUCAGUCGCCUUCAGCGAUCAUAUCCGUCAGUAAUCCGAGGGAUCCAGCGGGUUUAGUUCUGUAAUAAUCAGACUGUGCUCAAACAAUCGCUGGUAGCAUCUUCCGCUAGCCUCCGCGCAAAUGUUUCCGGAAGUGUAACCUUUCACCUUCCGCUGUACACGCUAGGAAAAGGUGCAUACCGCCACUUACUGUGUGGGAGUGUGUAACGACUAUAGAAUAUAAGACUAUAGAAUACCUUAAAGAGACUUUGGUAACAUCAUGACUUCAUUGUGAUCUUAAAUUCUUCUAAUUAAGCCACUUUCUUGCACAAUAAAUAAAUAAAUAAAGUCA